rnacentral:rRNA from 1 species
GACGAACGCUGGCGGCGUGCUUAACACAUGCAAGUCGAACGGAAAGGCCCUGCUUUUGUGUGGUGCUCGAGUGGCGAACGGGUGAGUAACACGUGAGUAACCUGCCCUUGACUUUGGGAUAACUUCAGGAAACUGGGGCUAAUGCCGGAUAGGAGCUCCUGCUGCAUGGUGGGGGUUGGAAAGUUUCGGCGGUUGGGGAUGGACUCGCGGCUUAUCAGCUUGUUGGUGGGGUAGUGGCUUACCAAGGCUUUGACGGGUAGCCGGCCUGAGAGGGUGACCGGCCACAUUGGGACUGAGAUACGGCCCAGACUCCUACGGGAGGCAGCAGUGGGGAAUAUUGCACAAUGGGCGGAAGCCUGAUGCAGCAACGCCGCGUGCGGCAUGACGGCCUUCGGGUUGUAAACCGCUUUCGCCUGUGACGAAGCGUGAGUGACGGUAAUGGGUAAAGAAGCACCGGCUAACUACGUG